GUGAAAGUUCGAGGCUCAACUUCGAAUUGCCUUAGAAACUGGGUGGCUAGAGUGCAGGAGAGGGCAAUGGAAUUCCAUGUGUAGCGGUAAAAUGCGUAGAUAUAUGGAGGAACACCAGUGGCGAAGGCGGUUGCCUGGCCUGUAACUGACGCUGAAGCACGAAAGCGUGGGGAGCAAAUAGGAUUAGAUACCCUAGUAGUCCACGCCGUAAACGAUGAUUACUAAGUGUUGGGGAAACUCAGUGCUGCAGUUAACGCAAUAAGUAAUCCGCCUGGGGAGUAUGCACGCAAGUGUGAAACUCAAAGGAAUUGACGGGGGCCCGCACAAGCGGUGGAGUAUGUGGUCUAAUUCGAAGCAACGCGAAGAACCUUACCAGGUCUUGACAUACCGGGCAAAGCCUCAGAGAUGAG
rnacentral:rRNA from 1 species